rnacentral:rRNA from 1 species
GAUGAACGCUAGCGGCAGGCUUAACACAUGCAAGUCGAGGGGCAGCACGUCUUCGGAUGGUGGCGACCGGCGCACGGGUGAGUAACGCGUAUGCAAUCUACCUUUUACAGGGGCAUAGCCCGGGGAAACCCGGAUUAAUAUCCUAUAGUACCAUUAUAUAGCAUUAUAUUAUGGUUAAAGUUUCGGCGGUAAAAGAUGAGCAUGCGUCCUAUUAGCUUGAUGGUAAGGUAACGGCUUACCAUGGCUAUGAUAGGUAGGGGUUCUGAGAGGGAGACCCCCCACACUGGUACUGAGACACGGACCAGACUCCUACGGGAGGCAGCAGUGAGGAAUAUUGGACAAUGGGCGCAAGCCUGAUCCAGCCAUGCCGCGUGCAGGAAGACGGCCCUAUGGGUUGUAAACUGCUUUUAUACGGGAAGAAAACGCCCCUUCGUGAAGGGACUUGACGGUACCGUAUGAAUAAGGAUCGGCUAACUCCGUGCCAGCAGCCGCGGUAAUACGGAGGAU